UUUUAGUUAAAAUUGAUGCAGUGCAAAU
rnacentral:piRNA from 1 species